CCUACGGGAGGCAGCAGUGAGGAAUAUUGGUCAAUGGACGAGAGUCUGAACCAGCCAAGUAGCGUGAAGGAUGACUGCCCUAUGGGUUGUAAACUUCUUUUAUAAAGGAAUAAAACGAGGCACGUGUGCCUUUUUGCAUGUACUUUAUGAAUAAGAUUCGGUAAACUCCGUGCCAGCACCCGCGUAAAUCCGGAGGAUCCGAGCUUUAUCCGGAUUUAUUGGUUUUAAAGGGAGCGUAGAUGGGUUGUUAAGUCAGUUGUGAAAGUUUGCGGCUCAACCGUAAAAUUGCAAUUGAUACUGGCAGUCUUGAGUACAGUUGAGGUAGGCGGAAUUCGUGGUGUAGCGGUGAAAUGCUUAGAUAUCACGAAGAACCCCGAUUGCGAAGGCAGCUUACUAAACUGUGACUGACAUUGAUGCUCGAAAGUGUGGGUAUCAAACAGGAUUAGAUACCCGGGUAGUC
rnacentral:rRNA from 1 species